UGGGGAAUAGCUCAGUGGUAGAGCUGUACUUAGCAUGUACAAGGUCCUGGGUUCAACCCCCAGUUCCUCCA
rnacentral:tRNA from 1 species